CAGUAGCCGCGGGAAUACGUAGGUGGCAAGCGUUGUCCGGAAUUAUUGGGCGUAAAGCGCGCGCAGGCGGAUAGGUCAGUCUGUCUUAAAAGUUCGGGGCUUAACCCCGUGAUGGGAUGGAAACUGCCAAUCUAGAGUAUCGGAGAGGAAAGUGGAAUUCCUAGUGUAGCGGUGAAAUGCGUAGAUAUUAGGAAGAACACCAGUGGCGAAGGCGACUUUCUGGACGAAAACUGUCGCUGAGGCGCGGAAGCCAGGGGAGCGAACGGGAUUAGAUACCCCCGUAGUCCCUGUCUCUUAUACA
rnacentral:rRNA from 1 species